CCUACGGGAGGCAGCAGUGGGGAAUAUUGGACAAUGGGCGCAAGCCUGAUCCAGCCAUGCCGCGUGAGUGAUGAAGGCCCUAGGGUUGUAAAGCUCUUUCACCGGAGAAGAUAAUGACGGUAUCCGGAGAAGAAGCCCCGGCUAACUUCGUGCCAGCAGCCGCGGUAAUACGAAGGGGGCUAGCGUUGUUCGGAUUUACUGGGCGUAAAGCGCACGUAGGCGGAUAUUUAAGUCAGGGGUGAAAUCCCGGGGCUCAACCCCGGAACUGCCUCUGAUACUGGAUAUCUCGAGUCCGGAAGAGGUGAGUGGAAUUCCGAGUGUAGAGGUGAAAUUCGUAGAUAUUCGGAGGAACACCAGUGGCGAAGGCGGCUCACUGGUCCGGUACUGACGCUGAGGUGCGAAAGCGUGGGGAGCAAACAGGAUUAGAUACCCUGGUAGUCCACGCCGUAAACGACGAAUGCUAGUCGUCGGGGAGCUCGUCUCUUCGGUGAUGCACUUAACAGAUUAAGCAUUCCGCCUGGGGAGUACGGUCGCAAGAUUAAAACUCAAAGGAAUAGACGGGGACCCGCACAAGUGGUGGAGCAUGUGGUUUAAUUCGAAGAUACACGAAGAACCUUACCUGGCCUUGACAUGGUAGGAACCCUUAAGAGAUUAGGGGGUGCUAGCUUGCUAGAACCUACACACAGGUGCUGCACGGCUGUCGUCAGCUCGUGUCGUGAGAUGUUGGGUUAAGUCCCGCAACGAGCGCAACCCUCGUCGUUAGUUGCUAACAGUUCGGCUGAGCACUCUGACGAGACUGCCUUCGUAAGGAGGAGGAAGGUGAGGACGACGUCAAGUCAUCAUGGCCCUUACGGCCAGGGCUACACACGUGCUACAAUGGGGCGUACAAAGAGCUGCAAUACCACGAGGUGGAGCCAAUCUCUUAAAGCGUCUCUCAGUUCGGAUUGUUCUCUGCAACUCGAGAACAUGAAGCUGGAAUCACUAGUAAUCGUAGAUCAGCUAUGCUACGGUGAAUACGUUCCCGGGUCUUGUACUCACCGCCCGU
rnacentral:rRNA from 1 species